rnacentral:rRNA from 1 species
AUUGAACGCUGGCGGCAUGCCUUACACAUGCAAGUCGAACGGCAGCACGGGAGCAAUCCUGGUGGCGAGUGGCGAACGGGUGAGUAAUAUAUCGGAACGUGCCCAGUCGUGGGGAUAACGUAGCGAAAGCUACGCUAAUACCGCAUACGAUCUAUGGACGAAAGCGGGGGAUCGCAAGACCUCGCGCGAUUGGAGCGGCCGAUAUCAGAUUAGGUAGUUGGUGAGGUAAAGGCUCACCAAGCCAACGAUCUGUAGCUGGUCUGAGAGGACGACCAGCCACACUGGGACUGAGACACGGCCCAGACUCCUACGGGAGGCAGCAGUGGGGAAUUUUGGACAAUGGGCGCAAGCCUGAUCCAGCAAUGCCGCGUGCAGGAUGAAGGCC